rnacentral:rRNA from 1 species
CACCACCUCAAGUGGUCAGGAUGAUUAUUGGGCCUAAAGCAUCCGUAGCCUGCUUUGUUAGUUUUCGGUUAAAUCCAUACGCUCAACGUAUGGGCUGCCGGGAAUACUGCAAAGCUAGGGAGUGGGAGAGGUAGACGGUACUCGGUAGGAAGGGGUAAAAUCCUUUGAUCUAUUGAUGACCACCUGUGGCGAAGGCGGUCUACCAGAACACGUCCGACGGUGAGGGAUGAAAGCUGGGGGAGCAAACCGGAUUAGAUACCCGAGUAGUCC